CCGCCUAAAGAGUAACGGAGGCGCGCGAAGGUUGGCUCAGACCGGUCGGAAAUCGGUCGUUGAGUGCAAUGGCAGAAGCCAGCCUGACUGCGAGACUGACAAGUCGAGCAGAGUCGAAAGACGGCCAUAGUGAUCCGGUGGUCCCGAGUGGAAGGGCCAUCGCUCAACGGAUAAAAGGUACGCCGGGGAUAACAGGCUGAUGGUGCCCAAGAGUCCAUAUCGACGGCACCGUUUGGCACCUCGAUGUCGGCUCAUCUCAUCCUGGGGCUGGAGCAGGUCCCAAGGGUACGGCUGUUCGCCGUUUAAAGAGGUACGUGAGCUGGGUUUAGAACGUCGUGAGACAGUUCGGUCCCUAUCUGCCGUGGGUGUAGGAUACUUGAGAGGAGUUGCCCCUAGUACGAGAGGACCGGGGUGAACGUUCCACUGGUGGACCAGUUGUCAUGCCAAUGGCAGUGCUGGGUAGCUAUGAACGGACAGGAUAACCGCUGAAGGCAUCUAAGCGGGAAGCCCCCCUCAAAACAAGGUAUCCCUGAGAGCCGAGGUAGACCACCUCGUCGAUAGGCCAGAGAUGUAAGCGCGGCAACGCGUUCAGUUGACUGGUACUAAUUGCUCGAUAGGCUUGAUUUG
rnacentral:ncRNA from 1 species